rnacentral:tRNA from 1 species
AAUUAGAAAGUGAAGUUUUACAUUUAGUUUCGACCUAAACCUUGGUUAUCAAUAAACCUCUAAUUA